rnacentral:lncRNA from 1 species
UUAAGCAAAGUGACAUUAAAAUAUUUUUCCAAAUCCACGUCACCGAAUUUAUGCUUGACAUUUUAUUACAAAUGCGACUGCUAAUAUAUAAAAAAAAAUUGAUUUGUCUUGGGGUUCAAACAAUGCAUCUUGGGUGACUUUGAUGUUGAUGAGUUCAAGCAUUGUUAAUGGGCCAAACUUGUUGCUAAUUUUGGACUUGAGGAAAAUAAAUGGUGUGUGGUUAGUACGAAAAGCGAACUAUGUGAGCAUCAAAAGAUAUUAAACGAUUUUUUUGAUGAUUUAUGUACUACUACUGCACAUUGUGAGAUUCAUAAUUUGGUAAGUGUGUUGAUCUAACGACUAUUUAUUGGACUUUAUACAACAUUAUUUUCGUUGGACGAAUUAUGCGGUAUAAAGAAGUUGAGGUAAAUUUUAUGCAAUCUUUUGAUGACAAUGUUUUGCAAUCAUAACUAUGUUCACUUGAACAUUGAGCA